rnacentral:rRNA from 1 species
UAAGGAAUAUUGGUCAAUGGAGGCAACUCUGAACCAGCCAUGCCGCGUGCAGGAAGACAGCCCUCUGGGUCGUAAACUGCUUUUAUUCGGGAAUAAACCUGCUUACGUGUAAGUAGCCGAAUGUACCGAAGGAAUAAGGAUCGGCUAACUCCGUGCCAGCAGCCGCGGUAAUACGGAGGAUCCAAGCGUUAUCCGGAUUUAUUGGGUUUAAAGGGUGCGUAGGCGGCUUUUUAAGUCAGGGGUGAAAGACGGUGACUCAACCAUCGCAGUGCCCUUGAUACUGAGGAGCUUGAAUGAACUAGAGGUAGGCGGAAUGUGACAAGUAGCGGUGAAAUGCAUAGAUAUGUCACAGAACACCGAUUGCGAAGGCAGCUUACUAUGGUUAAAUUGACGCUGAGGCACGAAAGCGUGGGGAUCAAACAGG